rnacentral:lncRNA from 1 species
UCGAUGUUCUCCCCUGCACCCUCCCUAUCGUCACGUAUGGUGAAUCGUUACAAGAUGAGGGACGACAUCAAGAGCUUCAACCUCUCAGGAAUGGGCUGCAGUGCGACCCUCAUUGCCAUUGACGUUGUACAAAACUUGUUCAAGUCUCCCAAGAAUGCGAAUGCCAUCGUCGUAAACACGGAAUCGUUGGCUCCUCAUUGGUAUUGCGGCGUGUAAAAAUCCAUGAUGCUCACAAACUGUCUCUUCCGCUCGGGAGGGUGCGCGAUGCUGCUCACGAACAACCGAAGCCUAAAGAACCAAGCCAAGCUGAAAUUAAAUCAUUUGGUACGAAUGCACACCGGCUCGAACGACGAAGCAUAUAACUGUUGCAUACAGGUGGAAGAUGAGAGUGGAAAUCGAGGUUUCCGCCUUACCAAAUACCUAGUAAAAGCAGCAACUCUGGAUUUGAAGCUGGUUUGAAGUGCAACAAUAUUGUGUGGGAAGUGAUGAAGGACUUGGAUGAUGUCAAUGUGUGGAAAGACUGCAUAGAUAGUUACCCUAGGGAUCAAAACCAAGUCAAUCCGUUCAUUGAAAAGUAUGGCUGGAUCAAUGAUGAUUAUCUAAGCUUUGUUAGGUUUGACAUGUCCCUAUUCGCUAUUGAGUAAUGCUACACUUACAACAUUUUUCAUAUUACAUUUAUAUCAUUUAUCUAAUAGAAGUAGGACCCACCAACUCAUGUGGAUCUCAUCUCUUUUAGAAAAAUGGUAAAAUAUUUGGUAUGAAAAAUGCGGUAAGAAGAUGAAGCAUAGAAAAGCAUAGAAAAGCAGUAGGCCCAGACGAUAUACCAAUCGAAGUGUGGAAAGUUUUGGGAGAGACAGGUAUAACAUGGCUUACUAACCUUUUCAAUAGGAUUUUGAAAACGAAGAAGAUGCCGAAUGAGUGGCGAAUGAGCACUUUGGUGCCUAUCUACAAGAAUAAGGGCGAUGUACAAAAUUGCAUGAACUAUAGGGGUAUUAAGCUAAUGAGUCAUACAAUGAAGCUCUGGGAGAGGGUCAUUGAGCAUAGAUUGAGGCAAGAGACACGGGUUUCGGACAACCAAUUCGGGUUCAUGCCAGGGCGCUCAACCAUGGAGGCAAUCUAUCUCUUACGAAGAUUGAUGGAAAGAUAUAGAGAUGGGAAAAAGGAUUUACACAUGGUCUUUAUAGAUUUGGAAAAAACGUAUGAUAGGGUCCCAAGAGACAUUCUUUGGAGGAUUUUAGAGAAGAAAGGAGUACGAGUAGCAUAUAUCCAAGCUAUACAGGAUAUGUAUGAAGGAGCAAAGACUGCCGUAAGAACUCAUGAAGGACAAACCGAAAGCUUUCCCAUAACUGUAGGAUUACAUCAAGGCUCAUCCUUAAGUCCUUACCUUUUUGCGUUGGUAAUGGAUGAGUUAACAGGACAUAUUCAAGGUGAUAUUCCUUGGUGUAUGCUUUUCGCAGACGAUAUAGUGUUGAUAGAUGAAACUCAGGAAGGGGUAAAUGCAAAGCUUAACCUUUGGAGAGAAGUGUUGGAAUCUAAAGGUCUUCGCCUAAGCCGAUCAAAGACAGAAUAUAUGGAGUGCAAGUUCAGUGCAAAUGGAGGCCAAAACGAGUUAGGGGUGAGGAUCGGAGAUCAAGAAAUACCAAAGAGCGACCGUUUUCGUUACCUAGGAUCUAUCUUGCAAAAGAACGGAGAAUUAGAUGGAGAUCUCAACCAUAGAAUACAAGCUGGAUGGAUGAAGUGGAAGAGUGCAUCCGGCGUGUUGUGUGACCGCCGUAUGCCACUGAAGCUCAAGGGAAAAUUUUAUAGGACGGCAAUAAGGCCGGCGAUGCUGUAUGGCACAGAAUGUUGGGCGGUGAAGCAUCAAUACGUACACAAAAUGGGUGUAGCGGAGAUGAGGAUGCUUCAUUGGAUGUGUGGGCACACGAGAAAGGAUAAGAUUAGGAAUGAGGAUAUCCGGGGUAAAGUAGGAGUAGCCGAAAUUGAAGGAAAGAUGAGAGAAAAUCGGUUACGGUGGUUUGGACAUGUGCAAAGAAGGCCUACUGACGCUCCGAUUAGAAGAUGCGACUAUGGGACAGAGGUUCAGGGCCGAAGGGGCAGAGGAAGACCUAGGAAAACUUUGGAAGAGACCCUAAGAAAAGACUUAGAGUACUUGGAUCUAACGGAGGACAUGGCACAGGACAGAACACAAUGGCGUUCUAAGAUUCAUAUAGCCGAUCCCACUCAGUGACUUGGAUUUUCCAAGUCUCCAACCAAGAAGUUUUCCUCACUCGGGAAAUUAAGGGAACACUACCUCAACCUAUAUGCUCCACUCACAAAGCUUCAACAUACAAGCUUCAACAAAAGAAAAAUUCAAAGAACUUAGCGAAGAAGGCUUUGGUGUAUUUAACACAAUACGUUGAAAUGAAGGAAAGCUUAUUUAUUGAUAUCCCCGAUAAGUUACAAAUAUGUACAUAUACUUGAGUCAAAAUAAACAAAAAAGAGGGAGCCUUCACAAAGGUUGCUUAGGAGAAGUCUCAGCAGUCGGUAGAGCCCCAGAAAGAGAAGGCACCGGAGGAGGAUCAUUCGGAGCCUCAGUACUGGACAAAAACCCUAGAAGGAGGAGGCAUCAGAGGUUGAUCAUUUGGAGCUUCAUUACGCGGUACAGCCCCAGAAGACGAAGGCAAUAAAUGCCUUUGGAACAAACCCACAAAUCUUUGAUGAUCAAGUAAAACAUGACCAUCAGAUUCCUUCAUCUGGUCAAGCUUCCUCUUCAUGUUUGUAGCAUAGUCAUGUGCGAGCCGGUGCAACUGUUUAUUCUCAUGCUUGAGCCCUCUAAUCUCCUGUUUGAGACUCAUCACUUCAGCCGCCAAUGAUUCAACUUGGCGGGUUCGAGCAAAUAGGCGUUGGGCCAUAUUAGACACAGAACCUGCACACUGAACACUGAGAGCCAGAGAAUCCUUAACAGCCAACUCAUCAGACCGUUUGGAAAGUAGUCUGUUAUCUUUGGGAGUGAGAAGGUUCCUGGCCACUACCGCAGCGGUCAUAUCAUUCUUCAUCACGGUAUCCCCAACGGUAAGAGGACCAGUAGGGGAGACGAAGGAUGGGCGCCAUAUGUUGUCUGGAGAAGGCGGGGCUGCCUCUUCAACAAAGUUCAAGUCAAAACGACGGUCGGAGGGGCCAGACAUUUUCAAAGGUGUUGAAGAGAGAAGAGGUCGGACAAAUCAAGAUCUUAGAAGUGCAAGAAUGGAGCUUCUACUGGUGGAUAUUCAAGUGUGCUUUGGAACUUAAUGUCAGCCCCUAUAAAAAUCUGCACUCGACGAAGCUUCAGAAAUCGAAGAGGCGCCUGCUCAGAAAUCGAAGAGGCGUUUGCUUUCUCAAAAGCUGGGCUGCUCAGAGACCACGAGGGUCGAUCUCAAAAAUCGAAGAGGCGUUUGCUUUCUCAAAAGCUGGGCUGCUCAAAGACCACGAAGGCCGAUCUCAGAAAUCGAAGAGGCUUGCUUUCUCAAAAGCUGGGAUGCUCAGAGACCACGAGGGCCGAUCUCAGAAAUCGAAGAGGCACCUACUUUUCCAGCCUUGUCAGCACCUGUCACACGCACACUCAGCUUUGCGGAAAUUAUGGGCAUUCUAUCGAAGAUUUCUGACGAAGUAGAAAGCACAUGAAUCGUACUGUUCAAUCACCCACUUCCCACACGCAACAGUAGCUCAUGGGUACCACAGAUAACUUUGCAAAAGUUCUCUGACAAAGUUGAGACACGUGAAGCUUGCAGCUCCCACUACAUCGCUCUGACCAAGAAGGGUAAAAAAAUUGCAAAGAAACAACACUAACAAAGUUUAAACACAUAAAUUUUGAAGGUCUAGCUACCAUAUUAUUACCCACAAGGGUAAAGGAACAGUACCACUGCUGGAUAAUUGGAAAGUCCCGGUGUGUCAACCUCUGUGCUUCGUGGCAAGGUAGACUAGUAAACAUGCCCAACCUGUACUCACAUUCGAGAAAACACUCCCAACAAGAUUGCUUGCUCCAAAAUCGAAGAGGCACCGCCCUCCGAAUCUCGAGAGCCAGACUCCCAACAUGAUUACUUUCUCAAAAAUCGAAGAGAGGGUAAAGGAACAGUACCACUGCUGGAUAAUUGGAAAGUCCCUGUGUGUCAACCUUUGUGCUUCGUGGCAAGGUAGACUAGCAAACAUGCCCAACCUUUACUCACAUUCGAGAAAACACUCCCAACAAGAUUGCUUGCUCCAAAAUCGAAGAGGCACCGCCCUCCGAAUCUCGAGAGCCAGACUCUCAACAUGAUUACUUUCUUAAAAAUCGAAGAGAGGGUAAAGGAACAGUACCACUGCUGGAUAAUUGGAAAGUCCCUGUGUGUCAACCUCUGUGCUUCGUGGCAAGGUAGACUAGCAAACACGUCCAACCUUUACUCACAUUCGAGAAAACACUCCCAACAAGAUUGCUUGCUCCAAAAUCGAAGAGGCACCGCCCUCCGAAUCUCGAGAGCCAGACUCCCAACAUGAUUACUUUCUCAAAAAUCGAAGAGACACCGCUCUCCGAAUCUCGAGAGCCAGACCCCCAGCAGGAUUGCUUUCUCAAAAAUCGAAGAGGCAUCGUUCUCUGAAUCUCGAGAGCCAGAUCCCCGACAGGAUUGCUUGUUCGAAAAUGGAAGAGGCACCACUUUCCCAACUUCAAGAGCUGGAUCUCCUUGGAUAAAGCUUGUCUGUAAUCUUCACACGCAACAUCAGCUUUCCAGAUACCACAGACCACUUUUUCAAAGUGCUCUGACAGAGUUAAAACAUGUGAAGCUGGCAGCUCCCACUACCGUGCUAUAACCAAGCAGGGUAAAGGAAUAGCAUUAUUACUUGAUGUUAGGGAGACUCCUAUAUAUGUCGACCUCCAUCCCUAACGGACAGGCAGACCUGCAAAAAUGCUCAACCCUUUCUCUUAUCUGAGAGGGCACUCCCAACGAAGCCUUUCGAAAUAUUCAGCUUUCUUUCCCCCCGAUAAUACCUCUGUAAACAAGCUAUACUAGAGCAAGAAUAUCUCAUAUCAUCAGGGUUAAAAGCAAGAGUAUCCCAUAUCAUGCUUUUUCCCUGUCUUUUCCUUUGGCCUUGUUCUUACCUGCAAGACAAGGAGAAAGAGAGCAAUCAGUCAGCACUUGGAAUCAAGCUUCCAGCCAGGAACUGACUGCCUGGAACCCCUUACCUGAUUACUUACCUGGCAUUGCUCUCGAGUACUCAUCUUCAACAUCUUAUGCUUCCAGGGAAGAUACCGCAUCUGCCUGAGGAACAAAUAGGGCAAGUGAGAAGGAUACAAGGAAGCAUGUGGAGACAAGCGUAACAGCACACGUGCCGAUACAUCCACUACUCUGUCAAAAGCAAAAGUAUCCCAUAUCAGCAGGGUCGAACGUACUCUAGAUUUGAUGGACUUGUUUUGACCCUCAAAUUCUUCAGUCGGCCUUAUACUCUGGAGGAAACCAGAAAACCCUCCAGCCCAGUUCAAGAAUAAGCCUGUGGAAAGUUACUUCUUCAAAAGCAAAAGUAUCCCAUAUCAUCUCUCCUCAUUUUUCUUCUCUUUAUCCUUCAUGCUGCCUGCAAGAUAGGGAGAAUGUGAACAAUCAGCCGGAGCUCUGAUUGCUUACCUUGUCUGUCACCUCUUUCAGCAGAUCCCCUAGCUCGGCGACUUGGGGGACUCCUACUACAUGGUUUGUAUCGCGCUUGACCAAGCAUGAAACUACAAGUAAGCUUCAAGUGAAAUUGAUACAUUACCUUGUGCAUCUCCACCAGUUACAGAUACCACCCCUGGAUGGAGGAAGAGUACUUCCAGAGAAGAUGCCACAUCUACCUAUGAGACAGAUAAGGCAAGUCAAGACGAUACCACACUCCGGUACUUAGAAGUUUCGUGGCUACGAGAUCAUUCUCCCCACAAUAUUUCCUAAUGUCAUUUGUACUAAAUCAUUCACUUGUACUCACUAAAGGAGAGCUUGAACCUAUGUACUUGUGUAAACCCUUCACAAUUAAUGAGAACUCCUCUAUUCCGUGGACGUAGCCAAUCUGGGUGAACCACGUACAUCUUGUGUUUGCUUUUGUGUAAACCCUUCACAAUUAAUGAGAACUCCUCUAUUCCGUGGACGUAGCCAAUCUGGGUGAACCACGUACAUCUUGUGUUUGCUUUCCUAUCUCUAUCCAUUUAUAUACUUAUCCACACUAAUGACCGGAGCAAUCUAGCGAAGAUUACAAAAAGUGACCGUUUUCGCUACCUAGGAUCUAUCUUGCAAGAGAACGGAGAAUUAGAUGGAGAUCUCAACCAUAGAAUACAAGCUGGAUGGAUGAAGUGUAAGAGUGCAUCCGGCGUGUUGUGUGACCGUCGUAGGCCACUGAAGCUCAAGGGAAAAUUUUAUAGGACGGCAAUAAGGCCAGCGAUGUUGUAUGGCACAGAAUGUUGGGCAGUGAAGCAUCAACGUACACAAAAUGGGUGUAGCGGAGAUGAGGAUGCUUCGUGGGAUGUAUGGGCACACGAGAAAGGAUAAGAUUGGGAAUGAGGUUAUCCGAGGUAAAGUAGGAGUAGCCAAAAUUGAAGGAAAUAUGAGAGAAAAUCGGUUCCGGUGGUUUGGACAUGUGCAAAGAAGGCCUACUGACGCUCCGGUUCGAAAAUGUGACUACGGGACAGAGGUUCAGGGCCGAAGGGGUAGAGGAAGACCUAGGAAAACUUUGGAAGAGACCCUAAAAAAAGACUUGAGUACUUGGAUCUAACGGAGGACAUGACACAAAACCGAGCGCAAUGGCGUUCUAGGAUUCAUAUAGCCGACCCCACUUAGUGGGAAAAGGCUUUGUUGUUGUUGUUGUUGUUGUAAUAAGUUUGCGUUUUUCUUUUACCUUGUGGAGAAGUGUGGUUGUUUGAAGUUUGUAUGAAGUUUUUCAAGCCCUGUAGUCUGGAUGUAUCUCAGAAAUAAACCCUAAUCGAUCAGGUGUUCCAGGUUUUUUUUUAUAAAAAUAAGAGUUCAUUAAUUUUCUAGAUGUGAGGCCAUGAUCUAUAUCAGUAUUUCCUUUGCUAGCAAACUCUCUUUUUGAUAUAUUUGUAUUCCCUUUGCUAGUACUGCAUUUACCACAAGUAGUGCAUUACUCUCAUGGUUAGAGAAAACCGUCACUGGAAACACCACUUCAUGUCCGACUUGCAUGUGUUAAGCAUGCCACCAGCGUUCAUUGACGUGGCGGUAUACACCUAGCUCCACAGGAAAGCAAGUCAUUAACUACUGGUUUCUUUCCUCCAGAAUAUCACUUGUAAUAAAAAUAAGAAAACACUACAUAUUUCAACCUCAGCAGCAGCACACCUCGUAUUUCCUUCACUUUAACAAGUGAUAUUUGGCUUGUAUGACCUGUGGAGAUUACCCUAAAUUUUCAAGGACAAGACAACUGUUUAGUUCUAGGGCAUCAAGGGUAACAGCUAAAGAAAAUACAAGCUGAACUUUUACAAUUUAAAUACUGAGAUUUAGGUGCACUAACAGAGAUGCGCCCUUCAAAAAUAGGCGUAUAAGCGACGAGCACACAGUAUUAUUGAGUAAAAGUUGAAAGAAUAGUUUGCUUUGUGCUCAUGUAUGCUUUCGUAAGUUAGUCUCCCGCAGCCUACAAUAUUUUAUAUGAGCGAAGGUAGAUAGUUCUUUGCUCCUGUGGCGGGUGUAGGACAAAUAGUUUGGCUUCCACUUCUUUGCUAACUCCCAAUUUUUUUGCUCAAAUCCCAUAAAUACUUUGGUCUAUUCAGCUAUUCCGCACCAAAAUUCUUUGCCCGUCGAAAUAUCAGCUCCAGUUCAAAACUCUAAGCUUGCAAGUUCCUUUGUCAAUUCUUAUAUGAAAUCAGGCCUUGAUUGCGAACCUAAUACUAUGUUUGGAUGAGGGAAAUAAACUUGGAAUUUAGAUAAAAGUUAGAAUUUGUACAUUGAUAUGCACCAAUUCUCUUGUUUGAAUUCAUAAACAUAGAAAUUUAGAAUUUCCGCGUGAAAAAAAAACUUGGAAUUUGGGAUCUCCAAUUCCCAAGUUUAAAUUCCAUGUAAAUAGAUGUCAUUUCCCAAUUUCUAUGAUUGAGAACUUAAAAAUAACAAAUUCUGUAUUCAAUUUCAUUGUUCUUUUUAAGCUAACCAAACAAAAAAAUUCACAAAUUCUGAAAAAUAAAAUUCCAUCAAUUCAAUUUCCAUUAUUUUAAAAUUUCUUAGUAAUUUUAAAUUUCUUCGUCCAAACAUAGUGUAAGUAGAAAUUAGUUGACAAGAAUUAUGUUUAAGACUUAUAGCCCAUUUUAAAAUGCUUCCUCAUAAAGCACUUAUGGUAUGAAAUAUUUAAUAGAAAUGCACGUGCUUUUUUUAUUACAAAAACACUUUCAAAUGUUUUUGUCAAAUAUGGUCUGAAACAUUUUUAGUGAAAUAAAAACAUUUUUAAUUAUUUUAAAAUCAUUUCUAAACAUGUUAUAAAUAUGUGUGAAAUAUGAUACUACAUAUGUUAUCCAAAAAUUGAAAUUUUCAAUUGAUUGGAUUCCAAAGGAAGGAGAUUUCCUAGAGCUUGUAUAUGUGUUCGUUCUUUUUUCCAACGUAUAUGUGUUCGUUUCAAACUGGUAUUUGAUUUGAUAAUCGAUGUCUACUUAGAUUUCCAACCUAUGAGUAAAAAUGACUAUAAGGAAUUGUCCUGCUUAAGAAGAUGCAAUAUACCUAAGCUAUGAAUCAUCUUCAUCAUCGGUCAUUAUUUGCUCCUAUAAACAUGAACCCUGAAGUUAAAAAUCACAGCAAAACAUUCGCUUGUAGCUUAUGAUGCACAUCAAAUUUUUGGCUCAAGGCCGUAUGGUCGUGGGACGAAAAAGGUCCACUAUGAGCUUACAUACCUACCAACAAAUUUACUAUAAAAUCAUCUCAAAAAGCUGGUUGGUUUGACCAUUCAGUAUUAAGAAAUAUACAUGUCUUCCAUAAGAUUUAUAUUAUUGACACGAAAAUUACAUAAUUGUCAACGUCGUUUUGAUAAGUUUGUUUAAUACAAAUUUACAUGGCAAACAAAUAGCAACGUAACGUCAUUUUAUAUUGUGGUCUGACCAAGGUAUUUCCUUUUAGUAGAGAAAUGAUAAGCGGAUGAAAACAAAACAUCGUUUAGCUAUUUCCAUUUCCUUUUUCGUAUUUAGCAAAAAGCGGCAUGGUUCACUUGAUCAUAACAACAAUUUGUUUUUCAAAGAAAUUAAGAAUCAAGGAUUUCAAUGUCACCAAUUACAGAACGUGGACUAGAAUAUUAGAAGAGCAUUUAGUUUAUAAAAAAAAUAAGGACAUGUUGUAAAAUCGACGGUGUGUGCAGUGGAAUAAAUGAAAUAAGACUCAAAAUUUAUGAGGUUCCUCUACAGUCAGUGUGAUUGAAGUACGUCCUCGGGGCAUCAAUGGUGCUUUCAUUAUAAUUUGGAAUAUAGGAGUACAAAGAUAACUCUCUCUAUUAUCUCCUCUCCUCUUCCUCUCUUUUCUCUCUUCUCAGCCAUGUUGCUUCUAUCCUCAUUCGUAUCUCAUAUUAUCUCCUCUCCUCUUCCUCUCUUUUCUCUCUUCUCAGCCAUGUUGCUUCUAUCCUCAUUCGUAUCUCACCUCCUUCUUCACCUCUCAUUCAUUUUAUAAGCAAAGAGAACACUAUUCACUUUACAAAUUUUCCACAAAUGAAUAGUGAAAAUACUGUGCAUAAAUAGUAACAAACUAUUUAUGUGGGUCAUCCACAUAUUAUUCACAACAGGAUGCACAUAUAUUGGUUUUUUUUUUAUUAGUAUUCUAAGCUACACCUAGUAGUUGGAAAUAAGCUUUAAGAAAAGUCAUAGAAUACUUGAAGUUAACGGAAGUCUUGGCACAAAAUCAAGCACAAUAACGUCCUAUGAUUCAUACAACCGAUCUCACUUAGUGAGAUAAUAUUUUAUUGUUGUUGUAGUAUCCUAAGCUACAUGAGAGUUUCAACAUUAAUGGCAGUGCUAGUAAGUUGAGGAAUAUCCUAUCUGUCAAGGCAAUUUUCCUGUUGAGUUUUAAUAACCAAUUUUUCGUACAAGAGUUCAUAUAUUUCUUUUACCUCAAUCCAACCUAAUAAUACCAUCAAAUUCAUCAUACCAUUUUCGGAUGGGAAAUGUUUUUGGCUCUCCAAAAAUCUCAUUCUACACUCCUCAUAAGUGUAUUUUGCUUUCUAAAUAUAGAAAGUUUAGAGUCUAAUGAGUGAUCUCCAAUCCAACCCGAGAGAACAAACGACAUAGCUCCACGGUUAAAAUUGUAAGUCCCGAGCCAAGUUUUCAUGAAGAAGACAUUUCCCAUGCAUUGUUCAAUCCCUGAAUUUGUUAAAAAAAUGAUAAGAAAAAUACCUUAUUCAAUGAAAAAAAGACUAGCCCACGCAAUAUUUGAGUGGAGAAAGCUAACACACAACUUGUAUAUAAGAGAUUUUUCAGUACCGGAACAUGGUUCGGUAUAUUAAGUGUCAUAAUACAAGUGGUUGGAUAAUUGAAAAAAAAUUAAACACUUAUAUUAUAACAUUUAGUGUCCCGAGUCGUGUUCUGGUACACUGAAAAAUUUCUCCAUUCGUAUAAGGUGCUAAAUGUCAAGGCCUUCUUACCCUACUAAUUAUUAUUAGUGGUUGGCCUAACUACUACCUAACUAUACACCUUAAUGAGGCCUACUACAUGAUACACUAGCUCUAUCUUAAACAUCUAUUUAUAAGAGAAAUAGAUCGUUGAAAGCUGUAUACAUGCAACUGAUCAUUCGACACUUCCCAAUUCUAAACUCUCUCUCUCUCUCUCUCUCUCUCUCUCUCUCUCUCACACACACACAUGGGGAUCCUGAUGGCAACGUGUUUGCUGGCUCUUUUCUAUGGUUUCUCCUGCCUCUGUAAGUUACUUCUCAGAAGGAGAGACCAGGCAUGCUAUCUGCUGGCCUACGAGUGCCACAUGCCACCAGACGACCUGAAGCUCAGCACUGAUUCAUGCGUGAAAAUCGUCUUGCGGAACAGGAAUCUAGGACUGGAAGAAUUCAGGUUUCUCUUGAAAACUAUUACCCAUUCGGGCAUUGGCGAGGAAACUUACUGCGCAAGAAACAUCAUCCAAGGCCGAGAAGAAACUGCAACCCUAGAAGAUGAACUUGCGGAGAUGGAUGGCAUCAUCUUUGACGUGCUGGACAAGCUUUUCGCUCGGGCUACCUCAAUUUCUCCGUCGCAAAUCGACAUUCUUGUCGUCAAUGUGUCGAUGUUCUCCCCUGCACCCUCCCUAUCUUCACGUAUAGUGAAUCGUUACAAGAUGAGGGACGACAUCAAGAGCUUCAACCUCUCGGGAAUGGGCUGCAGUGCGACCCUCAUUGCCAUUGACGUUGUACAAAACUUGUUCAAGUCUCACAAGAAUGCGAAUGCCAUCGUUGUAAGCACGGAAUCGUUGGCUCCUCAUUGGUAUUGCGGCGUAGAA